rnacentral:rRNA from 1 species
GACGAACGCUGGCGGCGUGCUUAACACAUGCAAGUCGAACGGAAAGGCCCCUUUGGGGGUACUCGAGUGGCGACCGGGUGAGUAACACGUGAGUAACCUGCCCUUGACUUCGGGAUAACUUCAGGAAACUGGGGCUAAUACCGGAUAGGAAUCCUUGCUGCAUGGUGGGGGUUGGAAAGCUUCGGCGGUUUUGGAUGGACUCGCGGCUUAUCAGCUUGUUGGUGGGGUAGUGGCUUACCAAGGCUUUGACGGGUAGCCGGCCUGAGAGGGCGACCGGCCACAUUGGGACUGAGAUACGGCCCAGACUCCUACGGGAGGCAGCAGUGGGGAAUAUUGCACAAUGGGCGGAAGCCUGAUGCAGCAACGCCGCGUGCGGGAUGACGGCCUUCGGGUUGUAAACCGCUUUCAGCAGGGGCGAAGCUUGUGGUGACGGUACCUGCAGAAGAAGCACCGGCUAACUACGUG